ensembl:lncRNA
AAUAUCCAUCCUUACUGAGCUGAUUUAUAUUUGUUUUAAAUUCUUUUUAGAUUCAACUUUUAACAGAUACAUUAGGCCAGGCGUGGUAGCUCACGCCUGUAAUCUCAGCCGUUUGGGAGGCCGAGGCGGAUGGAUUGCUUGAGCUCAGGAGUUCAAGACUAGCCUAGGCAACAUAGUAAAACCCCAUCUCUACAAAAAAUACAAAAAUUAGCAGGGCAUGGAGGCAUGCACCUGUAGUCCUAGCUAUUUGGGAAGCUGAGAUGGGAUGAUUGCUUGAGCCUAGGAGAUUGAGGCUGCAGUGAACUGAUUCUACAACUGUACUCCAGCCUGGGCAACAGAGCAAGAUCUUGUCUCCAAAAAUAAAAAUAAAAAACCUUAGAUCAAAACAAAUUUAGAGCUAAAUCAUCAGAAUUAAGUAGUGACUAAUAAGAUGCUAAAAGAAAAUCUGAAAUUGGAGAGUCUUUCAUCUAACAAAGUUACUAAAUGCCCAUUAUAUAUUAGGCACUGUUCUUUGUUCACACUAGUAACAAAAGACAAAAAAUAACUAUCCUAUUUCACUUUUAACAGUCCUUAGAAUGUUGACUGAUUAGAUAUUUUCCUAAGUAUCUUCUAGGUUUGUUCUGUUCUUGGUGUUUAUCUAAACAAAAAAUAUUCUGACAACAUUUAGUAAAUUCAUUUGUUUCCUUCUUGAAUACAUACACUUCAGAAAAUUCCAACUUCUUUUGUAGUCACUAAGCAUGCUGAGAUUGAGACACUACUAGUUAUCAGGUACUGACCCUGGUCACCUCCCAGAAUUGUCCAUAUGCCUGGGAAGCAGUGCCUGCCAUUGUGCUGGAGUAGCCUCCUUGUAGCACACUUUGCUGUAAUACUCUCCAAACCAAUUUUCUCUAACUCUAUGUGACCUAUAUUAAGGUAGGGCAUUCCAAUAUAUCCUCCAAUUUUGGUGAAUACAAUUGAAUGGUUCUCAACAAUGAAUAGUUUGGCAUACUUUUAUUUGGGGGAGGUGGUGGUCACAAUGACUAGCAUCAGUGGGUAAGGGCGAGAAAGGCUAAAUGAAUCCUGCAAUGGGAUGACAGUUUUUUAUCCUAAAGAACCGUCUCACUCAAAAGGCCAAUAGUGACUGUCCAUGGAGGGACACUGAGCUGUUGUCACCUGGUACGGUAACAAAGACAGAAGCUUCACUUUACUCAUGUAAUUUUUUCUACUAGACAGUAAGUCAGAUAAUUUUAGUAUUGUAUUUUAUUAAAUAUAUUUAUAUGCCACAAAAAUUAUUUUAGUGACAACUACUAGGAAAGUACAAAAUCACUUAAUAACUGGUUUUCUACACCUUGAUUUGUCAAGAAACUCAUAAGCAAAUGGAAAGUAAUAAGUACUGAUUGCAGUUACUUACUACAGUGAACAGUUUUGAGAACAAGAAGAAAACCUGUAACACUGAAAAUGGCUUUAUAUCCCAUUCAUAGAUCUCUUCAAAAGGUCUACUUUAAAAAUAAAUCACAUAAAGAAUUGUUCAGACUUGUUUGGUGAUGCCUCAACUUGAGAACAUUUGCAAGGAAAUCACAUGUAAAACCAAUCAUCUCAAUACAAUUAAAUGCUAUUAAAGAAAAAAAAAGUUUCCUUUAAAACAGUGGUUCCCAAAAUUUAGCAGGCAUCAGAAUCUCCUGAGGGAAGCUUGUUAAAAUACGGAAUGCUGGCCUCCUCCCCAGAGUUUGCUACAAGUUUGCAGGCCAUUCUGAUGUUGCUGCCGGCACAACACUUUGAGAACCACUACUUUAAGAUCUAGUCUCUAGAAUUCAAACUAAUAAGCAAUGCCCAUAUGCCUUUGCUUUUUCUAAUAGUAAAUAAAUAAAAGAAUAUUUCAGGUAGCUGCAUCAAACUUUAAGCCUUUAGACUCUUUUUUUUUUUGAGGCAGAGUUUUGCUCUUGCUGCCCAGGCUGGAGUGCAAUGGCAUCCUCUCAGCUUACCACAACCUCUGCCUCCCAAGUUCAAGCAAUUCUCCU